AGAACCUGAACUGAGGAUCACUGACUGCUCACACCAGACAUGAAGAAUUUCCUGUGGUUCCUCUGUAUUGGAUUGUCCCUACAAGAUGUCACUUCACAAAUCUCCUUAGUGGAGUCUGGUCCUAGGACUUUGAGACCAUCGGAGACUCUGGCCAUGACCUGUAAAGUGACUGGAGCCUCCCUGACUGACAGCAGUAAAAUAUAUUCUAUAGAAUGGGUCAGACAACCUGCAGGAAAAGGUCUGGAGUGGUUGGGGAGAAUAAUCCAUCAAAAUGACAAAUACUAUGCUCAGUCUCUCCAGGGACGAAUAACUCUCUCAAGAGACACAAAUAAAGGAGAAGUUUAUUUCAAACUCACUGGAGUGAAACCUGAAGAAUCUGGGAAAUAUUAUUGUGCUAAACACAGUGUAACAGAUGAACUGAGGACAUGUACAUUAUCUGAUUUACUGAAGAGGAAACAAAGAUCAAAUAACCUAAAAAAUAUAAAAAUACAGAGUGGAAUAUGA